AACGAAGGGGGCUAGCGUUGUUCGGAAUUACUGGGCGUAAAGCGAGUGUAGGCGGUUGUUCAAGUCAGGUGUGAAAGCCUUGAGCUCAACUCAAGAAAUGCACUUGAUACUGGAUGACUAGAGGACCGGAGAGGAUAGUGGAAUUCCCAGUGUAGUGGUGAAAUACGUAGAGAUCGGGAAGAACAUCGGUGGCGAAGGCGCUCUACUGGACCACAACUGACACUCAGGGACGAAAGCUAGGGGAGCGAAUGGG
rnacentral:rRNA from 1 species